AUGCUGGAACUCAGAUGCUUAGAUGUAAUGCUACUGAAACAUUUAAAGGGAUGGGGCAGCAGGCAAGAAAAGAAAUCUCCUGAUUUAUCCUUGGACCUGAACCAUAAUUUCUCACUGGAGCAAUAUUGCUUCUUCUCAGUUUCUCAGGAUCUGGGUGACAGCUCUUCAACCUUUUCCAAGAAUCCUGUAGCAACUAAAAGAAGAAAACAAGGAACCAGAAGAACCACAGAUGGCACCUCUGUGCUCCUGUCUGCCUUCCUCAAUGUCAUCUUCUCUUUUGUCUUCCAUAUGACUCCGUAAAAGAUGUGAGAUUUCCCAGAACUGUGGAGGGUCUCCAUUCCACCUGGAGGAGAGGAGAUGAAGGUCUCAGACACUUCCUGGCAAGGAAGCAGCCUGCUAAAUGAUGCCAACAGUGACUGACGAGCAAGUUCUGAUUCAGCAACCACAGGAGCUUAAGGGCACUUCAGUAGCUCUUAGACACUGGACCCUAGAGCAAUGAGCAAUAUGAAUCUAUUAAUGGCAAAUCACAUCACAAAAAAUGGAUCCACCUUGGCAUGAGCUUUGUAAAUGAGGGCAUGAGAGGACCAGAGGGGCUUUGAUGUUGUGGACCUGAGGGACGCUUCCAGCCACAGCCUGGUGAAAUCAUGGGAUUGGCAGGCAGUUUAAAGGACAAUGCAGUGACAGAUGAACAUGUAGUUGUAUAAAUAAAUUAUCCAGAAGCUCAGAAGCAUGGCAUAUGUAAGUCUUUUUUACUGCUUUCAUAUUGAAUAGUUCUUGGCAACCAUGAUCCCUGUCCUCAGUGUCUUGGGUUUGAGUUUGUUCAUUCGGAGGAUGUGACCAUGCUGGGGUCAGGGUACAAUCUUUGCUCAGCAACAAUUUUAUUUAUAGUGGAGAAGUGGAGUCAACAGUGGUUCUAAAUCCUUGUUGAUAGGAUGUGAAAUGUGACGCUUCAGGUCACAAAAUGAACCCUUCUUUAUCUGGUCCUUGUUUGCUCCUCCGACCUUGUCUACUGACUCAGCCAUUCCAGCUGAAAUGCUUUUCACUGGUUGCUAAAUAGUCACAGCCUGUGUUCCUAGAGUACCCCCCCCCCGCCCACCACUCAAUCUCAUCUAAGGCUUAGGGUUCACUUAACUAGUACUUUCCUUAAAACUCCUCAGCAUUUCCCAAGACUCAUUAACUAGUGAUGCCUGGCUCUACCAGGCAUGUCCUGUUCUUGUCGGUUCGAGUUUGUGGCAGACAGAGAUAGUCGGCCCAGAUCCUCCUUCAAUGAAGCACUUAUCAUUUCAUUGCCAGGAAUCCAGUCAUCAGAUACUAUCCAAUAUUGAGUUUGGCUGUAAAGACCUGGGGCCAUGCUCCUCUUGGAACAAUCAUAUCAAAUAAAUGAGCAGUAUGGGAUUUAAGCACCUGGCCAUUUUCAGCUCAGUGGGGAAUCUCCCAAUAAGCAGGAAUUUCUCAGAGCUGCCUUUGAUUGGCCAAAGCUUUGUUGGGACUGGAUCUUGGUGAAACAUAAGCCCCUGGCCAAUCUUCCUCCCUCUUCCUGCCACAGGUCAACACCUAAUAAACCUUUUGGAGAGCUAAUUCUGCCCCAGCAUGUGCUUUCAGAGGACCUGGCCUGCAACAGUGCAGGUUUUAUGAGUUGCUAAAUGUUUUUACUAUCAGUCCUCCUUAUAUAAACUGAAUUGCUUUUAAUUCCCAAGACACCCCCUAUUCACUCAGGUUUCCAAAUUUUAGCACCUGAUGUUCUUUCAUCUUGAGAUUUCCUCUGUGCCAUCACUCUUUACCUGGAUUAUUCUCAUCCUUUUAAAACCCAUCCUAAUAGUCAAAAUCUUUCAGUCCUGAGAAGCCCCUCCUGAUAGUAUUAAAGUUCUAUAGCCGUGCAACAAACUACUGCAAAUUUAAAACAAGACAGAUGAACAUCUCAGAGUUUCAUAUGGUCAUAGGCUAGCUGCGUCCUCUGCUCAUGGAUUCACCGGGCUGGAAUCAAGGUGCUAGCCAGGGCUGCAACCUCAUCUGAGACUUACGGUUCUCUUCCAAGACCAUUUGUGGUUUUUGACUGAAAUCAAUUUCUUGUAAUAAUGUAAUUGAUGUCGUAUUAUGUUGCUCUCUGUUUGCUUUCUUCUAGGAAAGCAGAGGCGUAUCUCUUUGACACUUCAUCUUCUUUUAAAGGGCUCACCUGAUUAGGUCAGGCCCACCCAAGCUAACCUCCCUUUUGAUUGACUCAAAGCUGACUGAUUAAUAACCCAACCACGGGAGUGACAUCCAACCAUAUGCAUAGAUUCUAAUCACAUACAGAGAGAAUAGGUUCUAUCCACAGCACAACCAGGCACCCUAGCAGAGGAAGAAGAGUUUCGUACUGACAAUUAACUUAUCUGGUCUAGAAGUGACACCACACACUUUAGCUCAAAACUCAUUGACCAAAGCUAAAUAUAUAGCCCAUCCAACCACAAGCGGCCAGGAAGAGACUUGCAGGUGGAUAACUGGAAAUAUUUGACAACAGUUAUCACAGACUGUCCCACAGGGUAAAGAUUGUGUCCUUUAUUUCUGAAUCCUUGGGACUUAUUUGGUGACUGAAAGACUGUCAACAAAUGUGAACGUCAAGAAAGAACAUUCCCAUAAACAUUUUUUUAAAAAUAAAUUUUCAAGGUAUCUUACAGACCGUCUUUUCUUCCCUUCUACCACCUGGAAACCUAGAAAAUAAAAUUUUUUUCAACUGUGUUUUCAUGACUGACAUAUAUUCAUUAUUGGCUUCACAAAAAUACUGUUAGUGAUUUUUUUCUAAAAUUCACAUUUCUGAAACCAGAGAGCACAAAAACAUUUCAGUGCUUCAUAUUUACGUGAAACCAUGGAUCUCUAGUAUCCACGAUUGGGAUCCUCAUCAUGUAUUUUAGGCUUUAGUGGUCUUCAGGGGACUCACUGUCCCUUCACCCAUGUGCUUUCUGCAACCCUAAAAAAGAGAUAUUAGAAUAGGGUUAAAAUUAGUCAUGGUGUGAAUUGAACAUUCAUAGCAAUCAUUUUUAUUACCUUUGUAAGAAAAUGCCCUUGAAGAAGCAAACUUGGAACAUUCCCUGCAUUGUAGUCUUUUUAAAUCUUGUCAGUAUGACACAGAUAAACUUCAGAGGAGCAGUGCACAAACAGUUCAUUUAAGCAGCCAGAGCAUUGGAAAUUAUGCACUUGGGAGGAACAAUGAGCAGAUUAAGGCUGUAUCAGCCUUUUCCCAGACCUCUGAUUUUAAAUAGAACACUGUAGUUACUCCAACAUUUUGUCCACUUAAACUAUCUCUAAAGAAUCCUCACCAGUGAUUCUUCUUGUACAGUAGUAAAUUUUAGGCUUCAUUAUCAAAUUAAUGAAUUUUAAUAUCCCGUAGAAAUGGGCAAAGUGGAAUAAUAAAGAAGUAAAUGUGGAAAAGGUAGUCUCUUUUAGUACUGAUACCCAGGCCUCCCACUGUCAUCAGACAAGACCCUUGUUCUGUAAAAGCAAUACUGGGAAUGAGGUUGGGAACCAGGGUUAUGGGGCUGCUAAGAAAACCUGUCUGGCUAGUGCCACUCCCUCAGUACUGAUG
rnacentral:lncRNA from 1 species